GAUGAACGCUAGCGGGAGGCCUAACACAUGCAAGCCGAGCGGUAGAGAUUCUUCGGAAUCUUGAGAGCGGCGUACGGGUGCGGAACACGUGUGCAACCUACCUUUAUCAGGGGGAUAGCCUUUCGAAAGGAAGAUUAAUACCCCAUAAUAUAUUGAAUGGCAUCAUUUAAUAUUGAAAACUCCGGUGGAUAGAGAUGGGCACGCGCAAGAUUAGAUAGUUGGUAGGGUAACGGCCUACCAAGUCAAUGAUCUUUAGGGGGCCUGAGAGGGUGAUCCCCCACACUGGUACUGAGACACGGACCAGACUCCUACGGGAGGCAGCAGUGAGGAAUAUUGGACAAUGGGUGAGAGCCUGAUCCAGCCAUCCCGCGUGAAGGACGACGGCCCUAUGGGUUGUAAACUUCUUUUGUAUAGGGAUAAACCUACUCUCGUGAGAGUAGCUGAAGGUACUAUACGAAUAAGCACCGGCUAACUCCGUGCCAGCAGCCGCGGUAAUACGGAGGGUGCAAGCGUUAUCCGGAUUUAUUGGGUUUAAAGGGUCCGUAGGCGGGCUUGUAAGUCAGUGGUGAAAUCUCAUAGCUUAACUAUGAAACUGCCAUUGAUACUGCAGGUCUUGAGUAAAGUAGAAGUGGCUGGAAUAAGUAGUGUAGCGGUGAAAUGCAUAGAUAUUACUUAGAACACCAAUUGCGAAGGCAGGUCACUAUGUUUUAACUGACGCUGAUGGACGAAAGCGUGGGGAGCGAACAGGAUUAGAUACCCUGGUAGUCCACGCCGUAAACGAUGCUAACUCGUUUUUGGGUUUUCGGAUUCAGAGACUAAGCGAAAGUGAUAAGUUAGCCACCUGGGGAGUACGUUCGCAAGAAUGAAACUCAAAGGAAUUGACGGGGGCCCGCACAAGCGGUGGAUUAUGUGGUUUAAUUCGAUGAUACGCGAGGAACCUUACCAAGGCUUAAAUGGGAAUUGACAGGUUUAGAAAUAGACUUUUCUUCGGACAAUUUUCAAGGUGCUGCAUGGUUGUCGUCAGCUCGUGCCGUGAGGUGUUAGGUUAAGUCCUGCAACGAGCGCAACCCCUGUCACUAGUUGCCAUCAUUCAGUUGGGGACUCUAGUGAGACUGCCUACGCAAGUAGAGAGGAAGGUGGGGAUGACGUCAAAUCAUCACGGCCCUUACGCCUUGGGCCACACACGUAAUACAAUGGCCGGUACAGAGGGCAGCUACCUAGCGAUAGGAUGCGAAUCUCGAAAGCCGGUCUCAGUUCGGAUUGGAGUCUGCAACUCGACUCUAUGAAGCUGGAAUCGCUAGUAAUCGCAUAUCAGCCAUGAUGCGGUGAAUACGUUCCCGGGCCU
rnacentral:rRNA from 1 species